rnacentral:rRNA from 1 species
GAUGAACGCUGGCGGCGUGCCUAAUACAUGCAAGUCGAACGCGCAGCGAGAGGUGCUUGCACCUUUCAAGCGAGUGGCGAACGGGUGAGUAACACGUGGAUAACCUGCCUCAAGGCUGGGGAUAACAUUUGGAAACAGAUGCUAAUACCGAAUAAAACUUAGUAUCGCAUGAUAUCAAGUUAAAAGGCGCUACGGCGUCACCUAGAGAUGGAUCCGCGGUGCAUUAGUUAGUUGGUGGGGUAAAGGCUUACCAAGACGAUGAUGCAUAGCCGAGUUGAGAGACUGAUCGGCCACAUUGGGACUGAGACCCGGCCCAAACUCCUACGGGAGGCUGCAGUAGGGAAUCUUCCACAAUGGGCGCAAGCCUGAUGGGGCAACGCCGCGUGUGUGAUGAAGGCUUUCGGGUCGUAAAGCACUGUUGUAUGGGAAGAAAUGCUAAGAUAGGGAAUGAUUUUAGUUUGACGGUACCAUACCAGAAAGGGACGGCUAAAUACGUGCCAGCAGCCGCCGUAA